GGACAGUAAAUUCUUUAGUACAGUGAAGUUUCUGGCGAUUGGGUAUAUUCUGCGUCUUCUAUCAAUGGCGGAAUUUGAAAUUUGGUGAAGUCGUAAAGAUGAAAAUCAAGCAAUACGGACAGUUUUUUUAUAGCUCAUUGAUCCGUCUAUUCGUCAAAUGUUACGAAGACCCAAAACACUCCUUAAUCCAUCAGAUGAGAUCUAGAACAGAUCAAUGUUAUCUACUGAUCCGUCAAAAAUUAGCCUCGAAGCAUUGUAGACCAAUAGCUUAUGUGCAUUAAUUUUGCUUUUUUUCUCUGAUUAAUUACGUUAUAUACUGUAUAUUUCCAUCAAUCUUUUCAGUUUCGAUUUUUAGCAUUUUUUUUUUGUGAAUAAGAAUAAUAUGGUAUCCUAUUGUUUAAUGUUUGGAAAGGGAUAAUGUUGUUAGUUUGUUACUGUAUUGAGUAGUGACAUGAGAAGCAACAAUGACCUCUUUGUUGCCCUCUAAAAUAUCGGUCAGGAUCCUGAAGUUCUCGUUUAUCCAAACUUGAGUUAUUUUCCUACUUGAUUUCCUUGACUUUUAGGCUUCAAAGGAGUGCGACAGAAAUACCAUUUAUUUUCGUCGCUCUGAUUUUGCUCCACAACUCUCGAAAAGAUUUCGCUUAAACUGUUAGAGUAUAUAACAUAUUAUGGAGCCUCGACCAUCAAUUUAAAUUUUUGGUUGAGUUAGUUCCUUCAUAUAGUAUCAAAGCCAGCGUGGUAAAAGGGUUCGAAUCUCAACCACAACCACUCCUCAUUUAAAAGUAGAAUAUUUAGCGCCGGGUUUCAGGUGGGGUGUGUUGCAUCCACACUUCUAGCCUAACACUUCUAGCCUAAAGGGCUCUCGUGUGAGGGAAGCGUGUUAAAGUAUAUAACAUAUCUUGGGGCCUCAACCUUCAGCUUAAACUUUUCGUUGAGUUGGUUACUUGACAUAAACCGACAAACUAAUCAUAUUUCUUAACGUAAUCUUAUCGUUAAUUGAGAAUCUAUGUGCAUUUUUUUAUGUGAGUUGCAAUAAGAAUGAUAUUAUUAUUAAGGUUCAGUUGAAAACAACUUUUUGUUUUUAUAAGGACGAAGAUGCAUAAAUUUGAUUCCCAAAUUUUGUCUAGGCGGGAACCGUUUAAUAACAUUUAAAGUAAUAAAAAUAGUGUUGAUGUAAUCUAAAAUCUUAAUUCCCCCUAUGUGACAUAUUAAACCCUCCUAAACUAGUUUAUGCAAUUACUCUAAUAUUAAGGGAGUAACUUUUACGGCCCAUUUGGUUGAUGGUAAUGAAGUAAUGGGAUCGAAAUGUUGUAAUGGCAAUAGUAAUGAAGGAAUGGAUAUGAGAAUUGGUAAUGAAGAUUCUUUUGUUUGGUGUGCAUGACUAAAGAAUGGUAAUGGAAAAUAAUAUUCCAUUGAUUGCAUUUGGUUGUUAGUAAUAAAAAAUGGUAAUGACUCUUAGUUUCAUUAUUGUAUAUUUGUAUCUAAAAGCAUUAUUGUAUCUAAAUAUGCUAUCUAAUGAUUCUUUUUUUAAUAAUAAUAUUUUUUUGGAUAAUUACAUACAUUACCUUUUUUUUCUUUAUUAUUUUUUUCUUUAGCUCGAAACAACAUUACCUUAUUUUAUUACUACAGUAAUACUUCAUUACCAUUACCGCCUAAUACCAGGUUGUUUGAUGGUAAUAAAAAUGGCCUUUUUUGGUAAUUUCAUUACCUUAUUUUAUUACUAUCCAUUACCAUUGAAGGCAUCCAAACAACCAAAUUUUUUAUUACUUAAUUUUAUUACCAUUACCGUCCACUAAUACCAUGUACCAAACGGGCCAUUAGUGUUUGCAUGUUUUAGGUCACCUUUCUCACCGAGAUGUGCUUGCCAAAGUUAAGUAAGUGAAGCUACUCCCAAAUCUGAUGGUGUGAGUUGUAAAAUUCAUUUUGUUUGUUAAGUGCAAUUCAAUGUAAUUGAUGUUAUGAUAUCUCCUACUCUUGAGAUCCAAUUCUUAACGCUUUUCAAUCUUUUAUAUACUUUCUCCUUUUCCUUGGAUGCAAGUUUCUCCCCAAAAAAACUCUUGCAUAAAAAGAAAAAUUAUUGAGUGGUACAAGAAAAAGGUAUCUUCGGUAAUUAAUUGGAAGUGUUUGGCAAAUAGUAUAACACCUCAAUCUAAUUGGAUCAUAGAUGACUACUCAUAGAGGUUGUAGAUCGACUACUCAAUUCAACACAAGUUAUUUCAACGCACUUUAGCCUCACUCGUACGUACCCGAUAAAACUUCUCCAGAUGUCGCAUAUCCUAAGAUUGUUUUCACCAAACACACUUAACCGUGAAGUUCUUUUAAGAUGUCAAACAACUAAAAAAGUAGAAGUAUAUGUAAAUGCUUUUUAAAUUGGUUGAAAAACUAGUUUUUAAGUCAAAACCAAAAGGCAACUAUGAGUUAUUGUUAUUGGUUUUUGGCUUAUUAACCCACUUUUCAUCUAAUAAACAAUCACCAUCUAAAAACCAAACAUCUUCAUAACAGUUGUCUUAAACUAUUGAAUAUUAGCCAAUACUGUCAAGUUAGAUUUGGAUCAUUGAGCUUCCAUCACGUUGGUUUUUAAUACUAUGUUAGUUUUUAAUUGAAUUAAUUUUUUAACAAAUACUUUUAACUAGUUAAAUUAAUGAACAAUCAUCUUUCAAACAGAUCAGAAGAUUUAAAAAGUAAAAGGUUGUUAUUUUAGGGAAAAUUAUUGAAAAUAACCUAGAAAAACAUCACUUUUGUGAAAAUAUACCUAGAACAAAUUCUUUUUGUCAAAAAUUACCUAGAAAAUUUAUUUUGUUUGUCAAAAGAUACCUACUAACAGGGUCAUUUGGAUUUCCGUUAGAUUUUCAAACUUUAACAAAAAAAAAUAAAUAAAUGAAAAUGUUAGAUUAAGCAAGUGGGUUCCCAAUACCCACUUUCCCCAAAACAAAUAGAGAAAAGAAACAUUAGCUUAAACUUAGGGUUUUAAAAUGUUGAAGAAACCCACUGUUCUUCAUCUUCCCAACACUGUCAUGAACGUCCUUCUUCUUCCAUUCCAUUAAUCUUCUUUCCUCAGGUAAGUUUUAAUUUGUUUUAAAGACUCUCUUUGAAUUGUUAUGGAAUUUUCGAACAACAAUUGAAAAAGGAGGAGAAGUAAUUUUGAAACCUACUAUUUGUGUUGAAGCUGGAUUUUAAGGCUUGAGUUUCAAAGACUACAAUAAUAAUGGCGUCCUUUAAUGGUGAAGAACCUAGAUUAGUUGAAUGAGGAAGAGGAUGAGAGAGCUGCUUUAAUGGAGCUUUUAAUGGCCACGUGACCUGCACAUGGAAAACUAACAGAAAUCUCAACUGUUCUGUUAGUAUAGAAUUAAUUGCUUUGUUUGCUUUGUAUAGAAUUUAUGGGUUUGGAACUUUCAAAUCACAACCAAAUAGCUUUGUUUAAUUGUUUUUCUAUAUAAACACUAGUUAGGAAAUAAGUUUUGAUGAACCCCAAAGUAGGUAUUUUUUGCUUUUCUAAUACUAGUUAGGAUCAUUCCUAAUUAUGUAUAAUAAAAAAUUAUAAAAAAUUAUAAAAAAUUAAUAUCAAUAAUUUUUGCAUAAAGACAAAUUUAACAAGAUAUCAUUUGACUAUAUUUUAACAUAUGGAUAAAAAUAAGUCACAAAUUAAUAAUGAUGAAUAAAUAGUGGAAAAACUCUAAUAUCACUACAAUAAAUUUAAUUUUUUUCGACAUUGGAUUUAGUGACAUUAAAAAAUACCACUGCUUUAUAUUUUUAGUGCAAUAAUUAUUUGGUCUUUAGUGGUAUAUGUAAUUGUCACUAUAGUCUAUAGUGACAUUUGUGAGAAAUGUCAGUAGAUCCUAUGUAGCAAAAAGCUUUAGUAUGAGUUUUUAUUAUGCAGCCAAAGGGUCUAAUAAAUACAACUAAAUCCUUUAUAUAUAUACUAUAAAAAAUUUAAAAUAACGACAUUUAAAUUAAAUAUCACUAAAUAUAUGUCACUGAAAUCAAAUUAUAUUAUAGUGUAUUGCAACUAAUGUGGAAAAGGGAAAGUAAUUAACUAAAAUCAAAAUGUCUUAAGAUAUGACACAAUUUAGUAUUUUAGGAAUUAUCACGUGCAAUUCUAUUAUUACAUAGGAGUAUAAAAAAAAUAAAUAUAUUAUGUAAAUAGCAAGUUUUCGUACAGGAUUAUGUUGGGUUACCAUUGACACAGGUAUUAGUAGAUAUUUUCAGUUUAGGAUGUUGAUGGUGGUCCACUGUUACUGAAGGACCAUUCAUUUUAUCUGUAAAUAAGUAAAAUAUUUUUUUGGAAAAAUUAUUUUGUGAAAAAUGGGUAGGACAUCUGUAUGCUUAGUCCUUAUAUUAGGUCCACCUUGUAUUUAUUUAUUAAUUAUUUUUAUGUGAGACUCUCAUCAGUAAGAUGACCUAUCACAUACUCUCUCCAUUCCACUGAAAAGGGUAUAUUGCUUUUUGACAGUGUUCAUUUAUUACUUUUAGUUUGAAUUUUAUUCUCAAUUUAUAAAUUAAAUAUAAUCAAGUGAAAUCUUAUUGAUUCAUCUCAAUGCAUAUAUUAUUAAUAUCAAUUUUUUAUAAUAUUUCAUUAUGUAUAAUAAUGAUAUAAAACAUUAAAUAAAUAUAUUGGAUAGCAUAAAAAAGUAAAUGUUUGAAAAUUUUCCACCUUCUAAAUCUUCAACCUUUUGUUUUAUUUCUUGUAAUUUCUCCAAUUCUCUGUUCGUCAUAUAUGACUUUGAUUUUGAUAUUUUCUCUAACACCAACUUAUCAAAUGACAUGAUAAUUUUGAGAACAAAUCAUUUUUCUUCACCAAAAAAUAAUAAUGCAUGUAAAUUACAUUAAACAUUAAUUUUUCUUCACCUAAAUUUGAUAAGCAAGAUUUUUUUUUUUUGAUAUGCAAAAUUUUGAACUAUUGAAUUAUAUUUUUAAUGAGUAUUUAUUUAAAAAUGCGUUAUUUAAGAGGUAGGAAAACCACUAUCAAUGGUUGAACAAAUUCAUACCAUAUAAGUGUGAUGGCUAAUAGAAUUCAACAUGCCUACGCAAAAUGAGAAAAAUACAAACCUAAGAAUUUUGAUCCAACUCUUUCCUAGUCAUAUGACUCAUAUCCCAAUUAUAGGGCAUUAAGGUUUUGCUAUAAAGGCUCUCUCUUGAGAGACCGUCUUUUCUAAAAACAGCUUUUAAGAGUCUAGUUCAUUUUCUUUCUUUAGUAAAUAUCUUAAUUUUAAAAAAAUUGUUGUUUAAAAAAGCUGUUUUUUUUUAAAAAGAAACUAUAGAAAACUGCUUUCUUUUUGGAAGAUUUUUUCGGAUUAAUUGCCUAUUCCCAAACAAAA